CCGUCCGCACCGUUUACUGUAUAAUCACAGUGGGGGAAAAAGAGCAGGCAACAAAACUAAAGCUUUUUUACGGCAAAGCCACUGCUGCCAUGUAAAUAACCGCCAGGGAAACAAAGGGGGUAUAUCAACAGGGAUCGUUUUAGGUGUGAUGAAACAAAGGAACAAAGGAUGCCUUAGAAGAGAGGCAGUGACGAAAGGCUGGAACCUGCUUGAAAGCACACCAGAUGGAUCUAUUGCUCCACUUUCCACCCAGAUCAUGAUACUUGGCUAAAGCUUUAAGCAUUCUCUAUGAUCCCUCCUCCAUCUAUGGCGAACUAUAGCCAUGCAGGGGACCACAACAUCUUGCAGAAUGUCUCUCCGCUUGCCACUUUUCUUAAACUGACCUCCUUGGGUUUCAUCAUUGGCGUCGGCGUGGUGGGAAACCUCCUGAUCUCCAUCCUGCUGGUCAAAGACAAGAGCCUUCAUCGAGCACCCUACUACUUCCUGUUGGACCUCUGCGCCUCUGACAUACUCCGCUCAGCCAUCUGCUUCCCGUUCGUGUUCACCUCUGUGAAAAAUGGCUCGGCCUGGACGUACGGCACGCUGACCUGCAAAGUGAUCGCCUUUUUGGGCGUGCUCUCCUGUUUCCACACUGCCUUCAUGCUGUUCUGCGUCAGCGUGACGCGAUACCUGGCGAUCGCCCACCAUCGCUUUUACACCAAGCGGUUGACCUUCUGGACAUGCCUGGCUGUCAUAUGCAUGGUGUGGACCCUGUCGGUAGCCAUGGCAUUUCCACCGGUGCUGGACGUGGGCACGUACUCCUUCAUACGAGAGGAGGACCAGUGCACCUUCCAGCACCGGUCCUUCCGUGCCAAUGACUCGUUGGGUUUCAUGCUGCUCCUUGCACUUAUUCUCCUGGCCACCCAGCUCGUCUACCUCAAGCUCAUUUUUUUCGUCCACGACCGCCGAAAGAUGAAGCCCGUCCAGUUCGUGCCUGCCGUCAGCCAAAACUGGACCUUCCACGGCCCGGGUGCGAGCGGCCAGGCCGCCGCCAACUGGCUGGCCGGGUUUGGCCGAGGACCCACGCCUCCCACCCUGCUGGGAAUCCGGCAGAACAGCAAUGCGGCGGGCCGCAGGCGUCUCUUGGUGCUCGAUGAGUUUAAGACUGAAAAGAGGAUAAGCAGGAUGUUCUACAUCAUCACCUUCUUCUUCCUGAGUCUAUGGGGACCCUACCUGGUGGCCUGUUACUGGAGGGUGUUCGCCAGGGGUCCGGUGAUACCGGGAGGCUACCUGACGGCAGCCGUGUGGAUGAGCUUCGCUCAGGCGGGAGUUAACCCCUUCAUCUGCAUCUUCUCCAACCGGGAGCUCAGACGUUGCUUCAGCACCACGCUCCUCUAUUGCAGAAAAUCCAGGUUACCUAGGGAACCCUACUGUGUUAUAUGAAGGCUCCGUGUUGCGUUGAUGUGGUCUCUUUUUGGAUGCCCUGACCGAUCAGGGAUGUGUUCUGUUGUACAGCUAUCUCCCUCUUCUCCUCCUCCUCCCUUUCCGAGGCCUGUAGUCGAACUGUCAGCUCGAAUGGAAUAAGCAAGGACAGAGGACAGGUCCUGCGUUUAUGUUCUAGUAAACCGUUAAUGCGAAAGGCCAUUUGAAACCCAAUAAGCAAAAAAAAGAAAAAAAUUACAAAAUGAAAGAAAAGAAAAGAAAAAAAAGGAUAAAUACACAAGGGACUGACCUUUGCUUUGGAUAUUUUGAAGACUGAGGGGUGUUGAAUAAACAGGUACCUUAAAGGAACCAGUGUAAUUGUUUCGUGUUUAAAAGUUGCACUAAAGUGAAGACAUGAAGAUUUUUUUCUCGCCGAGGUGCAUUGCAAGGAUGUCUUGUUUUUAUUUCCAAACUGAAAUAUACGAAUGCUUUAACUUGCAACAGACUUCUCUAUCACUGUAAGUAAACAAAACUUGUGAGGUGACUAACUCUGUUGGAAUACACCUUCACGAGAGGAUAAAUUGGUUUAAAUAAUCUCUCUUCUCCACACGUGAGAUUAAUGUGAGCGGACAGAACAGAACCAUCGAAUUGCAUCUUCAAAGGCUGUGUCGGAUGGCAGUGGGGUGGCCACCUCUGGUCCAGUCUCAUCAGGGCACUGGGCCGCGUUGGCUUUUAUCGGCACAAUAUGCUUCUGUGUUCCUCUCGAUGAUGCACCUGGUCGCCAGCGGGCGAUGAGCUGACUGAGGUUCACUGGUUUGUGGCCCUCUGACACCCACAGCCAGGCACCGAUUAACGCACAGGCUUGUCUAGGCUAUAGCCUAGGGGCCCCACCUGUUUAGGGGCCUCUGAUUGGCCAGAUUUUUUUUAUUUUAAAUUUAUAAAACAAUAAGAAAUAAAACAAAAGAUAAGCUGGUGAUUGGAUAGAUGUGACAUUUGGGUCACAUCUGUCCAAUCAGGUGCUUGUGAAAUCAUGGCACUUGUUUUCAUUUACGUCACUGCUAUUGCUAGACGGCAUAGCAGCAAAACGUCCGAAAGAAUGUACAAUAGUGGAGCACAAAUAUGAAAAAUACAAAGGUUAAAAGAACAACGUGACCAAGAUAGCUGACUGGCAAAUCGCAGCCAUUGGCUAACAUCGGUGCUGCGGUUGAAACAACUGCAGCGGGAUCCUUAGCUGUUGCAGAAGUUAGCUCAUCAUGUCAUCGGUAAUAUUUCAGGGAGUUAUUCCACAAUGACACAUAUUAUACAGGUUGGUUUUAUGACUAUGGUUUCAUACACAGUUUAUGUAAUGCACAGUGGUUUGUGUCUCAGUAAAAAAAAGCGUUUUUAGGGGCCGUUCAUAAUUCCUGUACACUUGUAUAAAACUGGAGCUUGCGCUCUCCUGGUGUUUGCCGUUGCAAAGCAACCAGGAAUGUAGAGGAAACACCGUAGUAUUUGCUGUCUCGUUGUGUGUGUAUCCGAGUGCGAUUGUUCCCGACGCCCCUCGAACGUUGGUUUGGUGUCUCAGCUUGAUUCUAUCGAACCCUGGUGCGUUUGCAUUCAUCUUACGUCAUCACGAACGUGCAUGACACAUGAUGGUAAACAGAACACGGUCCAAUAGGCUAUAUUGUGUUUUUUCGGUACCCUGAUGCGCACCUGAGUUUGCGUGACAGCUUUUACACAGCUUUUUACGUGCCCCGUUUCCGAACUAAACUGCAAGCGUGCAAAGCACCUGAAAGCCACCUAAGGGGGGGCCUCACCCAAAGAGCAGACUAGGGGCCCCUGACCACCUUAAUCCGCCCCUGCCCACAGCCCCCAGUCGAAUAUUAAACCACUGUAGCGAAAGAACUUCAAGAAGAAAUCGAGGUGCACAACUUCCAAUGUUUAUGAUUUCUGUGCAAGCUCUCAGAUUGAAUUUGCUCAUUUUAAUUGGGUGUACCGAAUGCAGCACGCUCCCUAAACAAACACUGGGAAUUGAGCUUUGCGGUCUUCCAAGUGCAAUGAGUCUUAUCGCACAUCGACAAAUGGAAAGUGCAACGAGGAGAAGCUGUAAAAUUAUCCGUGUAUUCAUAGGAAACGAUUCAAUCUCAGCUAUAAUGAGUUAUCACACACAACCUGGGUUCAUAGAUAGAACGCUAGAAGCAAAAUUAUUAUUAUUUUAAAGACCAACACAGAGUUGUUUUCUAUACAACAUUUUUGUGUUGUUUUAAUAAAUGAUGGAGUCAAGUGAUCCUAAAAGCAGCAGUAACUGAUGUUAGUGUAAUGGACCAUACUGUAAAGUUUAUUAGCUUUUUGCCUUCUGCCGGGCUUUCUGCUUACCUCGGUUUUGCUGAUGUUGCAAUACCAAUUUGAACAACCAGCUGGCGAGGGAGCAGACGCAAAAUCACGUGGUCUUGAUGUUUGCACAUAAUGCAUUUAUUUAUGAAAAUCUAAAUUUGAAAGUAUUAUCAUAGUUUAAUACGGCAUGAUAUUGUAUCAAUAGUCUCAUGCAAAAAAAGCUACAUUAAAUAUUAAAUAAGAUUAUAUUAUAAUAUAUAAAUGAAAUUGUUUCUACAAAUAUGAAAAUUCUCAACUCAUCUUUAUGCCAUCCUAGAUAUAUAUUUUCCUUUUUUAGUUAAACACUAAAAUCAUUAACUACCAUAGUAGUCUGCGGCACCUUUGACUGCCUUUUUAAAUUUUUCUACUAUGGUUGUCAGUGAUGACACGUGAGAACCAACGAGAAUUGAUUUUUUUCAUUUAUUAUUUGGAUUACUUUAAUUAAUUACUUUUGGAUUACUUUUUGAUGAAUGUGCUUUAGCUUCAACAUUAUGGAACUCAUAAAAGUAUAAAAUGAUUUCUUUGUGUUUAUCUGAGGAAGAGAAGUCAUAAACACCUUGGAUGGCAUGAGGAUGAUUAAAUUGACAGAAUUUUCAUAUUUGGGUGAACUGUCAUGUCCCUUCUCAUUCCCAGUCUGGUUGGACACAAUGUUUAUGUGCACUUUUCUUUUUUUUCCACAAAAUGUGGCGAACACAACGAAAGGAUAUUGAGGAUCUGUAGGCGUAGAAUCGACGCCUCCUCGAGUUGCAGCUAUGCUUAUCUCAGUCAACAGGCUGCGGAGAGUGACACACGCUUUUGUCUCGGCCCACGUGCGCUUCUUAAACGCUCUCGUUCCCUAACGCUCCUCUUCUUCUUCUACAGCCAUCCAAAGCCCAGCACCCCUCAGCCUCCUCAUCACCCACUUACGCCAACUUUGGGUGGCCAAUUAGCACAUUGACAUCGCAAUGAAACGACAAGGGCUGAAAGCCAAGAAGAGAAGAACACACGGUAAAACCAAACAGAGUUACCCUUGCUUACCGUAAUCCAUGUGCCUGACAGUUGCUACGUGACUUUCUUGUCAGAACAAGGGCUCUUGCUGUAAAAGUGGUGAUAGCUUUGUGAAUCGGGAGAAGCACUCUUGCCUGCAAACCCGAUGCCAACGCACGCCGCUUGACACCCAAUGCGGAAUACCUUAUGCAGAUCAUUCCGCAAUAGUAAACCACGGAGCGCAGUCCUCUGGGCAUGUUCAUUAGGCAUAGCUGUGCUUUGUUCAGCACAAAUUUUUGAUUGCGUCUUCUUAGGCAUAAUGUGGUUGUUGCUGAUUUCAUGGUAGCGGGACUAAAAUGAAACCUGGCAAGCAUGAUUAGUGAAAUUGACACAGCGAGGAGCGGACAUUUCCAUAGCCUGCUCAAUGUAUUGUUCAACAGGCGCUAUCAUUGUUAAUAACAGCUUUUUCUUGUGUCAUCUAAUGAACGGCCAAAAGGUUUCUGUCUCCGGCAAAUGAAGAUGUAUGGCACCACAUUUCCUUCAGUGCAAGGAGCUCUGUGGAUUUCCUUGGAAGUGAUUUUUCUUUACAGCACCCAAGUGGAUGGGAACAUUUGUGCAGGGCUGAACCAAUGUGAAUUGUAAAUUAUUGUGUUUUUUUACAUAAAACAGCAGAAGAUUGAAUAUAUUAGCAUAAACGUAUCAACAUUAGUUGAAAUUAUUUUUUUGGCGUCACUAGCUUUAUCUUUCUGACUGUACGAACUCUUCGACAUACCUGGCAACAUCAGGAAACUGUAAACCAGAAUUGACAGCUAGUUACACUUUUAAGUCAAUGUUGUGUGAUAAUCGCAAUUCAGUAAUCUGAUAUCAGCAUUUGAGGUUGGACAUGAACACACAAGUGAGAUUUUACUGCAGUAGAAUGUUUACCUUCGGAAGUUUAUGUAGCCAAAUGAAGGGAGGUAUUUCUUUGUCAUAGCGCCUAAAAGUUUUAAAACCAUUUCACAGGCGAUAAGAAAUGUUUAUGGCCCGUACAUUUUCUCAAUUCGCCAGCCAUCGGCAGGUGGGACAAAAAGUAAUAUUUCGACCUCGCUUGUAAGGCUUUCCAUUAUACAUUGUGUUAAAUCUGUUUACCGAGAUGGAAAGUGGAAUGUAACGCGGUGGAAAGAUUAAUGGGCGAGCUAAGCAACCACCGCAAAUGAUUUUUCAAAACAAAUUUGUACAUUGAUUCCCUCAGGUUAUGGAGCAAGGGAGCGGGUUUAAUUGGGAAGAUGCCUUAGAAUACAAGCUCACCUGGAAAGGAGUAUUUUUACUCUGUCUUCACUCUCUCUCUCUCUCUCUCUCUCUCUCUCUCUCUUCUUUAUCUCAGUCUGUCAGAGAGGUCCUGUAAUCACAUCAUCUCUUAUCAGUCAUUCUCACUGUUUCUGCCAUCCCAGAAUGCUCAGCUCUCAAGUCUCCAGGUUAUCUGCAGUAAGGACAGGAACACCGCUCGCCACUGAAUGUGGUGUUCUUAGAUUUCCAUUUGACUAUUUUAAACUAUUUCAUUAAACUAAUUUGCAUGUUUCAGCACAGAUAUUACGAUGCAUUUGGAAUAAAAUGCAGCGUUGGAUGCGUGUUUACGUUUUGUAUUCGCUGAUGUAGACAUGCUUGUGUUUUUUUGCCCGAUGUCUCAUUUAUAUUACCAAUUCCAAAUCAUGACUCAGAUCAGCAAGCUGCCCGCAUCCACAUUUGCUCUAAAAAUCGUAUUCUUAAGUGGGUCACAUCUUGGGAAACUUUGGCCUGGUUUGCCAGUUGGACCUACUGUAAUUAGGACAAAAGGAGGGCAGAAACUGGGCACAUUUCCCCAAAACCUGACUCACAAAUUACAACUACACAGUUGGGCAGUCCCACCAAAUUUGGGUCUGGGCUGCCGUUGAGCCUAAUCAUCUUAACUAUGAGUUCAACACAUUCUCAGAAAUGAAAAUACUCGUUCUACAGAACAAGUGUCAAUUUUGCUUCAUAUACGUGUGUGAAAAAAUGAAUUUAAUAUCGAAUAGCUUUGCCAACUUUUGAGGUCACUGCAUUCUCUCUAAACUCACCCGUAGUAAUGUAAAGUAGUAUCUUGAUGCUAGUAUAAUAAUUCAUUAUGUUCUUUUAUAUCUCUUAGUCUGUCAUAACACACAUAGCUUUUUCUCGCUUAUAUUAAACACAUUUUAAAAAUAAUACAAAAGGCGUUAUUUCACAUUUUAGUAGUAGUUGACACGUUUAAAAAUAGUUGGCAUCAUAUUUUUUUGUUUUUAAGAAUUCCCUGAAUCUAAAAAAUAAACAUAUUUGAAAGAAAGAAAAUGUUAAACUAAAGUUUUAUUAACCUGAGCAUAAAACUAAUAAUGGCUAAUUAAAUUGUCAACCCUGUUACCUACUAAUACAUAAUUAUAUCUCAGCAAACAUUAAAAUACAGUAAUUUAGUCAAAGAGCACAUUGCAAUAUGUUAACACACACACACACAUAUGCAUACUGUAUAUACACGCAAAUACAAUCUUUAAAAGCUUAGAAACUAUGCCUUUAAAAUCCUGUGGCGAAUUGGAAAAGGUACCGUUUCAUAAAAUGACCCAGAAAAUCAAAAGGAAAGUUUGCCAAGUGAGCUGUGCCCAGAGGCUGAUCUCUAAAAUAUAUUUUGCAGAAAGUUCAAUGCAAUAUACAGAGAGCCAGUUAACAGAAAUGUCUGCAUUGAAGGCGGCGCUUUUAUGGAUUUGCAGCUGUAUUAAAUGAGCUGUGUUGAUGGCUUUGUGCCUAGAGUGAUAAAAAGUUUUUUUUUGCUAUGCCAGGCUUCAGUGGUACAGGUACCCUAAGUACUCGCCUUGAUGGGCCCUGUCCAUUUUAAGGCUCUCUUUUGCUCUAGUGGAGAUGAAUAGGCUGAGAUUGUGCUGAAGUGCCCUGAAUCAACCCCGUGGAAAUGUUCACUUUGCUCGACAGAGUAAGGUCACUCUCGAUGGAGGGGAGGGGGGCCGUCCUGCUUGCGCAUUGCGACUGGCUAAUCCAACAGCUAGUCCAGAUCACAUUUAUGAGUUUUGUCCUCUAAGUUUCAACCCUGUUGGUUCUAGGCAAGAAGCAUCCCUCAGAUGACCUGUUGUUUGGACCAGAGAAAGAACGUGCCCGAAACACAUGCCGGAUCACAGUGUACCCCAACAGCUGUUGUGACGGUGAAUUUUCAUUUUUCUCUGCACUUGAGGGGUUGCUAUGGUGACAGUCGGCCAUGUUGGCCUUGAUGUUUUCACAGUCCUUUCUAAUUAUGCUCGGCAGUUUGAAAUGACUCAGGACGUUUCGGUGCGCCGUGAAAAUGCUUUUGACAGCACAGACCCCUGUGAAAGAAACCGCGGACAAUACACGCCACAAAAACCAGAUGACUUAUUUGAAUCUAAUAUGUGGCAUAUUUACAUGUUUAAUCUUUGGCCAUAACAUUUUAAGGAUUUUAUCUUUAUUUUUAUUUGAUCUAUUAGAUAUUAAUUGGACUGAGAAAAUUGGUGUUUUUAUAACAGGUGGUUGGAGGGGUUAAGAAAAGGAGGCUCGAUGCAGAAAAGGACAUUUCUGAGAGGGAAGCAAGAUUUACAUUUAAGCAUUUAGCAGACACUUUUAUCCAAAGUUAGUCGACUUACAAAAGUGACAAAAGUGAGAAGUGCUACGAAGAAAUUCAUCCUAAAGAUGCUAACGUGCAAUGUUAAGAAAUAAUAUACAUGCAAAGGGGGGAGAAAGAAACAAAUAAGAUAUUUAAGAUAUUACAGUACAUUCUGAUAAAAGAUUACUGAAAAGCUUUUUAUAAAUAAUAUAAACGGAUCAUUUGUGCAUGAAGUUCAUAAUUCUGCCCUGAAAAUUAACAUUGUAACUUGCUUUGAAAUACCACAAAAAUCACACGAUUUAGUUUAUAAAUUGGCUUCGUAGUUAAAAACACUUUUUUAAAAAAAGUUUAUUUUCUUAUUAUUUUCUUAUGAGGCAAACCACUGCUGAGGUGCCCGCACUCUCACAGCAUCACAGGAAGAGUCCGCUGAAACCAGCCCUUCAGGCUAGCCAUUUAUUUUUAACUCGUCUUCCUCGUCCCACCGUCUGUAAAAAUCGCUCAUGGCUCUCCAUUAGCGAUGUCACGUGGAUGGCAACAAGCGGCCAAGAGUCUUUUUUCCAGGUAUCCAAUCAACUCCAAGCUACACGUUAAGAGUGAAACCCAGAAGGUUAUGAUGUGGCCUUAUGGCUUCAUUUCAGUCAAAUCUCUCUGUUAGCAUAGACCAGUGUGGACUAGCCUACAUUUCAUGGUUUUAGGUUCAAAUUAAGUAAGUCUGGUUUCAUAUUUUAUAAAGAAACUUAAUAUAUUGGCUAGGACAACACAUACAGAUCUCAAACAAACUGGUAGAAUUGAAUGUGUUGACAAGAUUUGUUGACAGAACCAAUGAGAUCUAUGCUAUUUUGGCACACUGGGUCCAGGCCUCCCAGAUAUGCCGUGUUUCAGUUUUAAGAGCCGAAGUCUAUCUGGAGAGCAGAACGUCCAGGCUUAGAUCCAGCAGAGAAACUGACACCCACUUUUUAGCAACAUCUCGGACACAUUAACCAUCUCUGGUUAAUACUCCGAGUGUGUGGCCACCCCAAGAGAGGAUUGCAUUAAAACAGCGCCCCAUGACGCUCGUGAUAUACGGUACGUGAGCGCGCGUGAGGCCUUUUUUGCUAUUCAUUCUCCGAGCAAUCAAGCAUCUCAUCCGUAGUGUCUAUUUUGUCAUUACCGAUUUAAUGAACCGUGAAAGUGGCUCGCUAGCUCACCUUGAGCGUGUGUGCAUCUGAACGUGAGCGUGUGCGAAUGGGAGGUGUGUCAAGCGCCUGACCAGCUGACCAAUCAUAAGUGAAGGAUUGAUUCAUUGCUGUUCAGUGGGUGGAUGUCAUUGCAUUAGAUAAAAUAUCUGGCUUGAUUUUUUGUUAAAAUGACAUCCUUUAGACUUUUUCGUCCAGGCAAUAGAAUUCAUACAUUUUUAAACAUGACUUAGAUGCCCAAAUACUUUUUUAGUAGGCCAUUGUAAUAAAGGACAGGUGGAUUUCCAUCACGCCCUAUGGCGACUGCGUAUCUUUAACACAGAAGAAUAAUCGCAUAGCUGUUUUUUGGCUACGAGUCAAGCCCCCCCACACGUUCAUUCUAUCCGUCUCUAUCUAUAUAAAUGUCGGCAUCCCUUGCACUGCUGAAAAAGCUCCCAGGAGGCUGAACGCUGUCUGGUUUAGGGGAGAGGAAAAUCACUGGGCCGGGCACGACGCAGGAGGUGGGUAAGUGCCGUUUGGCUCGUUUUUUUCCCUCACGCUUUCCCUGACUCUGCCUUCUGUAGCUGCAGAGCGCUGGGAGACGUGAAGGGUGAUGAAUGGCACUGUUCAUGUUUUGGGAUGAGAGGUGUUCCCUCCCGAAAGCUUUCAGGGAGACGUGUCAUCGCUCUUGUCUGCCUGGUCAGUAAAGCGCAAUUCGAAGUGCGACUGCAGGGCUGUGUUUUAUUUAUUAAUUUUGAAAGUCUGCUUACACAAUAGAUAAAGAGAGUAUGAUUUGGAAAAAACUGGAUUUACCAGUUGUGGUGCAUUUCUUAUCCCAUCUGUUUAGUUGAUAGGAAAGUUAUUCCAGAACACAGAUGGAGGAAUGAAGUAAGCAAUCUUAUUUCCCUUUAAAGGUCCAAUGUAUUGACAGAAAUGCAAUAUAAUAUGCAUAACUAUGUCUUCAGAGGUGUAUAAAGACCUUACAUAAUGAAGCGUUAUGUUUUUAUUAUCUUAGAAUGAGCUAUUUCUGUCUACAUACACCGCGGGUCCCCGUGCAUGGAAUUCGUCGUGUUGUUUCUACAGUAGAUCUAAACGGACAAACUGCUCUGCAGAGCGUUUCAUAAAUACUGUAUGUUAUCUCCUUCAGCAAAGACGCAAGAUGACAACAUAUUAGUCCUGUGUCAGCCACCGUAGUGCUUCGAAAAAGAGAGGGGAGUGGUGGAGUGAGCCUUGGGCUGCAAUUCACAACCUCACCACUAGAUGUCGCUAAAUGUCAUACACAAGACCUUUAAUGCAAUAAAAAUGGCAUUUUACAACAUGAACAUCUAAUAAUGUGGUAUUAAUUGUAUUUUGCUCCUUUAAUGUGCACACCAUGGGAUCAUAGACAGUAGGUUGACCCUGGAUCCUCGCAGUCCCUGUCAUUGAUAGGUCAGAGAAAAGCAUCCCGGGACCCGGCCACCCCCUCACACUCCAUCUGUCUGAUGUGCGACCGGACUGAAAUUUCACACGCCAAACUGCUCGCUCAGCAUAAUUGAUGUGAACAUCCCCGUUUGAAGCCAAGAUGAACAACUGUCUCCUUCCCCGGAAUGAAUCCUUAGGGAUGGAUUUCAUCUACUUCCAAUCGUCGACCGGUGAAAAUAAUGACUUCGAGAGAUACACGUGCAUGUAACCUCUGAAUCUUAUUCGAGCGUAAGAUCACCAGUCAGUUCGUAUAAACAUCACUGUAUGAGAUAUAUCACUUAUUUUUUUAUGAUUUUAUAUGCGAUGCAUAACAGUCAAAUGUUUUCACCGAAAGAUGUCAUCAAUCUAUAUUUUGGAGAUCUUGGAUGUAUAUGACUAACGCGGUUUUAUAUUUGUAUGUCAAGUCAUUUUGUUUAUUGACUAUGAUGGUGUAUUAUGAUCAUACAGCAGAGAUGAACGGUGCUGUUUUUGUCUCGCUGCAUGAUACACUUUUUUCAGAGUAUUGAAUAUUGUCUGUGACAUGUACAUGAGCCAAAUCUAGAGAAGUUUAUAUUUAGCUCAUGUAGGCUGGAACAGAAGUCAUUUGCUGUGUGACAUGAUUAAUUUACACUGAAGAAAUACUGAAACGUUAUACACCAGCUGAUCGUACAAAAGCGAUUCGCAUCGUCUCGAGUGACCCGCUGUAACAUGCGACUUUCACGGAUUAAAUAAUUUAUUGAAAGACGUAUAGAUGCAUUAAACAUCACCGUGCCUGCAUGUAAAACUAUUCCUGACAAGAAUAAAUAGUCUUUGACCUACAGCGCUCCUCUUUAUAGACUGACAAGACAUCAAGCGGAUAAAAUAUCCACUUUGUCCCAUUGAGAUGAAUAAAUUUGCCGUACAGGUGUAGUUGAACAGGCAUUAAUCCCGAUACACUUCUUCACCGUCACAACAGAACUCAUAUUAUACCCAUGAAUGCUGUAAGAUGAAUCUGACACGAUUUUUCUGUCCUUCUCAUCUCUUUUCCAGCUCUAGCGUGCCUCUUGAUUUAGGCCGUGAUGUGGCUGCCUCUCUAAACAGUCUCUUUAUGAGACGCAGUACAUCAUAUUGAUUUCUGUGGGAAUGGGAUUUGUAGCAAGCAGAUCUCUUUUGCUGCCGAUGUUGUGGUUGUCAGAUGAACUCGCUCGUGUACGAGUGAGGAAAGGAGAUGCGGUUUGGUAUGUCUGAGCUAACCCGGUACUGGAAAAGGUAAACCGGCAUGUGGUUUCACAAUACAAUCUCUUGGUCAAUUCGUACAUUUUUUUACAAAGUGGCUAAUUGGAAUUUGUACAAUCUCGUUUUAGUACGAUAUGGUUUAGGGGUGGGGUAUUUCUUUUUUCUAAUAAUCAUACAAGGGGUGUCACAAUAUUCUGGUAUUGACAAUAACCAUGGUAUAAAAAACCUGGAUUAUCUGUAUUGUGUAAUACUACAUGAUAAUAUUAUAAUUCGGCACCCAUUUCAAAUUUUGCCAAAAGAGCCAACACUCUCUUUCUGCCUCACUACACUCAUAUUUUGAUUGCGAUUGGCCAAAAAAGAAAACACAAAAUAAAAGUGAAUUAAACUAAGUUAAAUUCUAAGAGUUAAAAGUGAAUUUAACUAGCAUUAUUUAUUUUAAAAAAUCAACAGAUAUCACAAUAAUAUUAUUAUUCUGAAAUAUUUUGGCCAUGUAGUGAAAAACUGAUAUGGUGACAUUAUUUAAAUCAUACAAAUGGAUUAGCCAUCUCAUAAAAUUUAAGUUAAAGUCCCAGUGAAAUUAAAAAUUACAAUGCCUAUUUUUUUCAUGAAAUAUUGCAGUGUUUAUUGUAAAUAGUUUAUCAACAUGGGCCAUUCUCUUUUUAAAAUUCGUGUGCCCUCAUAAUCUUUAGCUAAAAUAUGAAAAUGCACUUCCUUCCUGCAUGACUAUCCAUCUUAAAUGACGUACGUUAGGUGGCUUGGGUGGAGCAUUCGUUAACUCCUCCCCUUCAACUGUCAGUCUGCUGCCAGUUCCAUUUCAAAAUGCAGCGGCUGUUUUUAUACAUCCAAUCAAAUCGCAGAGAAAUACGAAAGCCACGCCCACUAUUUUUCUCAUUAGAAAUUCCAUUUCACUCGGAAAUGUGUCAAAAUCCAGAAGUAAAAACGAUCGGAACUUCCGGUUCGUGGGGACUUUAUGGUUAGAUUAGGAUCAGUCUGGGUUCAUGACUCAGAACCCACGCCCGCCCACUGUCUGUUUGCCGAAUCGAGAUGUGCGCAAAAUGACGUCUUAAGUCAUUCGUAAAAUUCUCACUGGGAAACAAAGGAGUGAAUGUCUCUGAGCAGACGUUCAUGCCAUUAGGCAGGAGUCCAAUCUGACUGACUUCAGCCCUGGCAAGAUUCCCGCUCUCUAAAUUUCAUGUCAUGACCGUGAAAGGAUAGCAGUAUGUAUAUUUUAUGUGGCCCUUUAUAAUGGGAUGCUACAUGCAGGUUGCCAGGUGGUGUGGAGGUGUACAGGUGUGCAUAAUUCAUGGGGUUCUUCGUCUCUCUCUGUCACAUUUUUUUCUGUGAGGAAGUGAGAGAUUGAAGUAGCCCACAGAAAGUCUUAAAUCCGACACUUUUAUUGACUUCUGCAUUAGUUCAGCGUCUUAGAAAGGAAACAAUUAGCUUUAAAAGGUAAAUAUGUGUGUGGGCUUAUUUGUAUUUGAGUGACUCAGGAUUCAGACACACCGGCUGGUUUUGACCUCUCAAUUUACAUGCUACCCUUCGUUGCUAAUUAAAUAAAGAGCAGCACACGUUCCGGCUCUUAUCUUGUUCUUGCGGAAUUGCGUGCCCUAUUUUGUGAAGAAUGACCUCAAUAUUUCAUUCAAAAAGGUGGAUGUGCACUAAUUGAAUGUAUUUAUACAAGGUUAUGACCCUUAAUGCACUCUGAGACUGAUGUACACUUCCUGCACUAUUCUGAUAUUUUUUCAGACACC